rnacentral:rRNA from 1 species
CCUACGGGUGGCAGCAGUGAGGAAUAUUGGUCAAUGGUCGCGAGCCUGAACCAGCCAAGUAGCGUGAAGGAUGACUGCCCUACGGGUUGUAAACUUCUUUUAUAAAGGAAUAAAGUGAGGCACGUGUGCCUUUUUGUAUGUACUUUAUGAAUAAGGAUUGGCUAACUCCGUGCCAGCAGCCGCGGUAAUACGGAGGAUCCGAGCGUUAUCCGGAUUUAUUGGGUUUAAAGGGAGCGUAGAUGGGUUGUUAAGUCAGUGGUGAAAGGUUGCGGCUCAACCGGAGAAUUGCAAUUGAUACUGGCAGUCUUGAGUACAGUUGAGGUAGGCGGAAUUCGUGGUGUAGCGGUGAAAUGCUUAGAGAUCACGAAGAACUCCGAUUGCGAAGGCAGCAUGCUAAC